UUUAUUCUACUACACAAAUUAUCUGUUGAUUUAAAAAUGGGAGGUAAACUUAUAAAGACGUCAGUUACCAUUUAACUUUUAAUUAAACUAUGUAAUUUGGAUGAAAAUCGUGGAGACUGAUAAGUAGCAAAAAAAUCAAAAGUAGCUAUGCUGCGAAACGAAUGUAUGAAAGAGCCCGCGGAUAUCGAUUUUGUUCAUCGAGAAAAUUUAACUAAUGGAGCUUAAAACGCUGAUGCUAUGCUAUAAACAAUAGAAGAAAUCAGCCCAGAAUAAGUUGUAGAAAUCCUGUAAUAGGCCAAACGUUGAAGAGAGCACAUAGUUAUCAGGGCUGAAGGUCCCUGUAUGUGGAUUGUAUUGUCAGUCGUGCAUAACACAAAUAAUAUGUUUGCAGGGCACCACAAGGCUGUGUACUGUGUGUGUCUUAAACAUUUUUACCCAAAUGGCGCUCAGGCGAUUGGAGCCAAUGAAUGUUCUAAGUGGAUCUUAUGCCCGAAAGAAAAGGAUACUAAAAGUCUCGUGCAAUAUUAUCUCUAUUCUGCAGUUCCU